UGCCACUCAAACGUCUGUCUGAAGGACAGUUAUGCCAGAUGCACCUGAGUCACGUUGCUGUGAACUUUGUCGCCAACAAACAAUAUGGAGCACCGACGUAUGAAGGAACAUGGGAUUUUUCAAAGUGGCUAUCUUUCACCAUGUCGUCUCAUGGAGAGGUCAGCUCGAUCUUCUACCCGCCAGACGAGGACAAAGAAGUUCUUGCUAUGAAGAAGGGGAUUCUAGGAACUCUGUCAGCU